rnacentral:rRNA from 1 species
UACGUAGGGGGCGAGCGUUGUCCGGAAUUACUGGGCGUAAAGAGCUCGUAGGUGGUUUGUCGCGUUGUCCGUGAAAACUCACAGCUUAACUGUGGGCGUGCGGGCGAUACGGGCAGACUGGAGUACUGCAGGGGAGACUGGAAUUCCUGGUGUAGCGGUGGAAUGCGCAGAUAUCAGGAGGAACACCGGUGGCGAAGGCGGGUCUCUGGGCAGUAACUGACGCUGAGGAGCGAAAGCGUGGGGAGCGAACAGG